UGCUGCCUGUUUGGAUGGUCCAGUGUUUGU
rnacentral:piRNA from 1 species